rnacentral:rRNA from 2 species
GAUGAACGCUGGCGGCGCGCCUAACACAUGCAAGUCGAACGAUUAAAGCACCUUCGGGUGUGUAUAAAGUGGCGAACGGCUGAGUAACACGUGGGCAACCUGCCCCUCUCAUUGGGAUAGCCACGGGAAACCGUGGAUAAUACCGAAUACUUCGAGACUUCCGCAUGGAAGACUCGAGAAAGCUCCGGCGGAGAGGGAUGGGCCCGCGGCCUGUUAGCUUGUUGGUGGGGUAACGGCCUACCAAGGCAAUGAUGGGUAGCUGGGUUGAGAGACCGACCAGCCAGAUUGGGACUGAGACACGGCCCAGACUCCUACGGGAGGCAGCAGUGGGGAAUCUUGCACAAUGGGCGAAAGCCUGAUGCAGCGACGCCGCGUGCGGGAUGAAGGCCUUCGGGUUGUAAACCGCUUUCAGCAGGGACGAGGCGAAAGUGACGGUACCUGCAGAAGAAGCC